GAUGAACGCUGGCGGCGUGCCUAAUACAUGCAAGUCGAGCGAACAGACGAGGAGCUUGCUCCUCUGACGUUAGCGGCGGACGGGUGAGUAACACGUGGAUAACCUACCUAUAAGACUGGGAUAACUUCGGGAAACCGGAGCUAAUACCGGAUAAUAUAUUGAACCGCAUGGUUCAAUAGUGAAAGACGGUUUUGCUGUCCCUUAUAGAUGGAUCCGCGCCGCAUUAGCUAGUUCGUAAGGUAACGGCUUACCAAGGCGACGAUGCGUAGCCGACCUGAGAGGGUGAUCGGCCACACUGGAACUGAGACACGGUCCAGACUCCUACGGGAGGCAGCAGUAGGGAAUCUUCCGCAAUGGGCGAAAGCCUGACGGAGCAACGCCGCGUGAGUGAUGAAGGUCUUCGGAUCGUAAAACUCUGUUAUUAGGGAAGAACAAAUGUGUAAGUAACUAUGCACGUCUUGACGGUACCUAAUCAGAAAGCCACGGCUAACUACGUG
rnacentral:rRNA from 1 species